rnacentral:lncRNA from 1 species
UAGAGAAUCCUUUCUUGAAGAAAAGGAAGAUCACAUUAUAAUGAUAUAAGUUAUAAGAAAAACGUUUCUUAUAUGGUUGUCACUUGAAGCACAAUGAUCAAGAUCACUCUUGAUUCAAUUAGUAGUUUUGAACAACUAAUUGGGCAUUCUUAAAAUUGUUUUCAAAUGUCAAUUGUGUUAGUGAUUAAACCAAGAAAGAAGUGUCUAAAUCUAUAAAAUGUUUAAAGACUUUAGUCACUUAAAUAACAAGACAUUAAACUUAGUGAAGAUUGAAACAAAUAAGCUUGAAAUGUUUUAAAGCUACUACACAAUGUCUUCUACCAAUAUACUCCACUUUUAUACAUUUUGAAUGUAUGAAAUGAUUUCUCAUUAAAGUCAUGAGAAAUAG